GAGUUUGAUUAUGGCUCAGGAUUAACGCUGGCGGCGUGCGUAACACAUGCAAGUCGAACGGUAUUUUGAAAGGAAGAGACUUCGGUCUUGGAAAGUCAAGAGAGAGUGGCGAACGGGUGAGUAACGCGUGAGCAACCUGUCUUCCACAAAGGGAUAGCUGCCGGAAACGGUAAUUAAUACCAUAUGAAGUUAACGAAUCGCAUGAUAAGGUAACUAAAGAGAAAUCGGUGGAAGAUGGGCUCGCGUCCGAUUAGCUGGUUGGAGAGAUAACAGCUCACCAAGGCAAUGAUCGGUAGCCGGCUUGAGAGAGUGAACGGCCACACUGGAACUGAGAGACGGUCCCUACUCCUACGGGAGGCAGCAGUGGGGAAUUUUGCACAAUGGGGGGAACCCUGAUGCAGCGACGCCGCGUGAGCGAAGAAGGAAUUCGUUUCGUAAAGCUCUGUCCUAUGGAAAGAUAAUGACG
rnacentral:rRNA from 1 species